ensembl:snRNA U6 U6 spliceosomal RNA
GUGCUCACUCCAGCAACACAUGUAUUAAAAUUGGAACAAUAUAGAAAAGAUUAGCAUCGCCUAUGCAUAAGGAUGACACAAAUUCAUGAAGCGUUCCAUAUUUAA